rnacentral:lncRNA from 10 species
UUUAAGUCCAGCCAGAUAACCACAUUGAGAGGAAGACUGGAUGAUAUCCCGGAAAGCUCCGUGACACUAGCAUCUAGAUUCAGCCUCUGGCAAUCUACAUGAGAUAGGUGUUUUUAUUCCCACGACACAUUGGAGAAAACAGAGGCUCUGAGAGAUAGGCAUCUGGUGAGGAAUAGGGCUGGGACUUGAUCGGUCUAGGUAAAGUCCCCAGAGCCAAGGGGACUCUGAAGAAGGACAUCUGAGCCAGACAGGGGGUCAGGUAAGGCCUUCUGGAAGCAACAUGGCCUGAUGAGUCAUAGUGGAGAGCCAUAAGUGCCCAUAGAAGCCCCCUAUCCCAAAUAUGGGAAAUAGUGUUAGUUUUCCUCUACAAAGUCCAAUCAAUAGCAAAGCUAGCGACAGGUAGCACCUGCAAGGGGGCCCUCCCUGCCUCCCUUCCUUGGGCCCCCCUCUUACCAUAGCCUCAGGUCUCUAUAAAGUACAGCAGUUCCCACUGGGGGUGUGUGAAAUAGGGCUAACAGAGAAGGGCCAGCUCUGGCCUUGCAACUCUCCCUUGGGCCCAGCAACUCCUGAUGGGCCUGGGAUCCCUGGAGAGCAGUGGGGGCAAUGGGCCAUACUGAAGUCUGUCCUCUGCUGCUCCAACUGUAUUCCUUCCACAACUUUCUCUGGACCUAAGUCAACAAGAGCCUGACCCUCACUCAACCUCCUUGCCUGCCUUCCUUGUAGUGCCAGAAAAAAAUCUCCUUGCUCACACAAAAAUUUUCUUUUUCAUUUGAAAAUGGUCCGGGGCCAGGCGUGGUAGCUCACGCCUGUAAUCCUAGCACUUUGGAGGGGCCGAGGUGGGCAGAUCACCUGAGGUUAGGAGUUCAAAACCAGCCUGGCCAACAUGGUGAAACCCCAUCUCUACUAAAAAUACAAAAAUUAGCCAGGUGUGGUGGUGCGUGCCUGUAAUCAUCCCAGCUACUUGGGAGGCUGAGGCAAUCGCUAGAACCCAGGAGGUAGAGGUUGCAGUGAGCCAAGAUGGUGCUACUGCACUGCAGCCUGGGUGACAGAUCGAGACUUCAUCUCAAAAAAAAAAAAAAAAAAAAGAAAGAAAGAAAAUGCUCUGGGGGAACUUCUCAUUCAACUCUUAUUGAAUAAGAGGAGGAUCCCGUAUCUCCUACCCACCUACUUUUUUAGGGAAUAAUACAUGUAGGUAUGCUCUGGACGUGAGGCCAUUCCUAACUGGGCUUGCCCUUUGGUGACAUCCCAGGAUCUGAGUCUGUGAUCUGGUAUAGCCUAUUAGAAAGCCCCCAAAGUCUCCAUGGAAUGGCAACGGCCCAUUGGACCAGCCCAACCAAGUUAUACCUUACUUUCUCUAUCUACAGGCUGCCUCCCCUGACAUGGGAAGACAGACAUCGAGGAGAUCUGCUGGGCCCACAGGAGCUCCAAGGGAAAUCACAGAAAUGCUCGCCUUAUAUAUAAAACUGCUUUAUUAAAAAGUCAGCUAUUAGGAAAACAAAGCCCUUACAAGGGUUCUAUCAAAAAGUACAAAUUUUAAAUAAAUGCAUCAGAAA